ensembl:miRNA
UAGCUGUUAAUCCUUUGAGUGUUUUUACAUUACACAGCAUAUGUCCAGUGAAAGUUCUGCUGUGUGGUUUAAGGAUACUCACUGAUUCUCCAGCAACUGCAAACAG